rnacentral:misc_RNA from 1 species
UCGAUACCUGCCUGGCAGAACGACCCGCGAACCAGUUCAUGAACUGUCGGAUUCCACGGGCCUAGCCCCGUUGUCUCCGCAUCCCGAUGGCUGCCGGGCGUGAUAACACACGCACGACCGCCGUCGGUGAAACAAACCAACCCCGGCGCGGAAUGCGCCAAGGAACAUUCGAGAAGAAGGAGGGGGGUUCCGGACGACCGUUCGGCUAUCCUCCUCUCGCUAACAAUAACGACUCUCGGCAACGGAUAUCUAGGCUCUUGCAUCGAUGAAGAACGUAGCGAAAUGCGAUACUUGGUGUGAAUUGCAGAAUCCCGUGAACCAUCGAGUCUUUGAACGCAAGUUGCGCCCAAAGCCUUCUGGCCAAGGGCACGUCUGCCUGGGUGUCACACAUCGUCGUCCAAACCCGCAUUCCCCUCGGGGCAUCGGGCGCGGGCGGAUAAUGGUCUCCCGUGCGCUCCCGCUCGCGGUUGGCCCAAAUCGGAGUCCCCGGCCAGGGUGGACCACGACUAGCGGUGGUUGAAAGACCCUCGACGAGAGUCGUGCCCGCCCUCCGGGACAAUCUGACCCUGAUCGUGCUCCGACCAAUUCCGAGCGCUCACGAA